UGGAUGGAUGAUGACCACUGGUGGCGUAUGAGCCACACGAUGAAUACGUUUCUGGAACUCUAAGGUCCAU